rnacentral:rRNA from 1 species
AUUGAACGCUGGCGGCAGGCCUAACACAUGCAAGUCGAACGAGUGGCGGACUGGUGAGUAAUGUCUGGGAAACUGCCCGAUGGAGGGGGAUAACUACUGGAAACGGUAGCUAAUACCGCAUACCCUCGGAUGCGCCAAGAUGGGAUUAGCUAGGAGGUGGGGUAACGGCUCACCUAGGAGUCGACCCCUAGCUGGUAGGAGAGGUUGACCAGCCACACUGGAGCUGAGACACGGUCCAGACUCCUACGGGAGGCAGCAGUGGGGAAUAUUGCACAAUGGGCGCGAGCCUGAUGCAGCCAUGCCGCGUGUAUGAAGAAGGCCUUCGGGUUGUAAAGUACUUUCAGCGAGGAGGCGUUACUCGCAGAAGAAGCACCGGCUAACUCCGUGCCAGCAGCCGCGGUAAUUC